GUAAAGAACCUAAUUGAGUUCAGCAAGAUGACGACACGAAUGAACUCUUGCUGAAUGAAGUGAAGCUCAUCUGUCACAUUCGAACUCACGUAACUCCUAUGUAAACAAACCACCGAGAAUUGUCAAACGAAGUUCAUCAUUUUGUGGGGUUAUGUCGCGAGAUGCAUUAUAGUAUAGGUGUUCACAUUUACCAUGUUUGAGUGUGUUAGUUCUUCGCUGGCAGAAUUAAGUAUGGCGGCACAGUACCGCGGAAGGCAGCAAUGUCAACAAAAGACAAACAAAACAAGGCUGAAAAUUUUGUUGGUAUUUUAUCAAAUUUAAAAGGUGACCAACAUUAAUGGCGAUUCAACAAUAGAAAAUGGCCUGGUUAACAUAUGGGCUUUUCGAUUGAUGGUGCACCGGUGGAGUGGAGUGCACUGGUUUUCCACUUUCUAGCAGAAGCGCAGAAAACUGGCAAUAGCGAGCCGUAUCAGGAUAGCGAUGAUGUGCAACGUACAGAACAACUUGGAUGAUCAAAUUUUCGUCGUUGGUAGUACACAACAUUAAAGUACGAACGACAGGUAAAAAUCUAGUGAUGGACACUAAAAAGCAAAAAGGAUGUGCAUCUACGGUAAGGCGCGAAUCGCACUGAACAAUAGCAAGUAGGAAUUCAUCGAGGACAGGAAUGCAGACGCAGCCGAAGAUUGUGCUUCUAGCAGGCCCACUUGGGAAUGUGCAUCAAUUUUGAGAUCAUAAACUAUAGAGGACCUAUGUUAUAAUAAUUAUACA